rnacentral:ncRNA from 1 species
UAUCCGUCGGGGGGCCUUUUUAGGCUGAGAGAUUUUAAUAUCGACCCGUCGAACCUGAUCCGGACAAUGCCGGCGUAGGGAACGGGUAUUC